ACUAUCUUUUGGCUAAACACUCUCCACUCUCUCCCUCUGCUUCACAUUUCAGGCCGCCGCACAACCUGCAGGCGACGAUCUGGUUCAGCUCCAGAUUUCCAGCUCCGUCUCUGUUUUGUAUUCUUGGGCCAUUCGCCUUCUUUUUCUUUUUCUUUUUGUUGAGGGGUUUAGGAUAGCGAUUGUUUGAGACAGGCAUAGCCAUCGAACGUUACACCAACCCACCACCGCUUCCCCAUAUAGGGCUGCAGUGCCAUGAUGAGUAGGAUGAGCAUCACAUAGAAUAGAAUCACCCUUUGUGAAUUUUUCUGUUUGUGCUUCUAUGUUAGUGUUUGAACACGUGGAAGAAAGUUUCACCCUUUCGAUGUCAAAUUGCUUUCCGAGUAAAUUAUUCGGCAUCGUUCUAUCUACAAUUCCUGUUUGUAUAUCUGUGUUUAUAAUAAUGUAUAAAUUAUCCCCCAACUUAUUCAAAUGUUUUGCAAAUGUUUUGUCUUUUAUAUUACUCCUACACAUUACUCAAUGUAGGUCAAGUUGUGCAUUUCUGUGAUUUUUACAUGGUAACUGAGAUGAGAACCAGUUUCUAAAGAUCUAGAUGUCAGAAGAGCUCGAAUUGUAUUUUAUUUUUUUGUUUUUAAUAUAUUUUUUAAAAAACAAAUUCUGAAUUUUUUAGUUUUUUUUUUAAAAAUUCAAAUGUUUUGUGUCGUCCUUAUUGACCGUGACACGCAGCUGGUUGUGUCCGGGUCAAUGUCAACAAAUAUGUGUUGUGCAUAGGUUGAGUGGAUUCAUGUUCUUGUCGGAUGCGUGUUGUAUCGACCUGUUUUGCCACCCUAAAUCAAUGGAGAGAAAUUAUCUUAACCUUGCUCAGCAAUAACCAGAAGUGACAAAUUAAUUGGGUUGGUAAAACGAAUCUCAUGGAUACAAGUGCUGAUAUUUUUCUCCCUCAGAAAAAUAUCUGCAUAGCUAACAACUUUUUAGUCCCAAGAAAACGUGGUAGGGAUUCAAGAAUCAAUCCCGUGUCCCUCCAAAUCAACCGUCAACACAACAUGUAACUUCGAUGCUUUAAUCCCCGUUCUCUUUCGAAAUUUUUUGUAAAUUUUUCUUACUUAUUUUAUUAUUUAUUUGUUUAGACGGAGAAUAUGAGAAUGAAAUUGACAGAGAAUGUGAUGGUGCAAUCGAUUAUGAUGGCAUCAAUGGAGGCGGAAAUGAUGAAGAAGUUGAAGGCAAAAUAGGAAGAGAUUGAUAUGAUUGGAAACUAAGCUAGGCUUUGCAAGAGAAAGUUAAGUUGCUGAGUCGUGAGAACCAGUUUUGCUAGCAGCCACAGGUGCAACGGCUAUGACGAAGUUUCCAUCACCAUUCUUGGAGAUGCUCUCCAAGAACGGCGAUGGAGAGUUCGUCAUUACCGCACCUUGGUUGCUGCCAAAACUGUUCUCACAACUCAGCGACUUAACUUUCUCUUGUAGAGCCUAGUUCAGUUUUUCAAUCAUAUCAAUUUCUUCCUCUUUUGCCUUCAACUUCUUCAUUAUUUCCGCCUCCAUUGAUGCCAUCAUAAUCGAUUGCAUCAUCAGCUAUUCUUUCAAUUUCAUUCUUACAUUCUCUAUCUAAACAAAUAAAUAAUAAAAUAUUUAAAAAUAAAAGUUUACAAAAAAUUUCAAUGAGGGAGUGGUGAUUUAAGCACCGAAAUUACAUGUUGGGAAAUGAGACUAUCGAUGUUGUAUUGAUGGUUGAUGUAGAGGGAUACGGGAUUGGUUAUUGAAUUCCUAGUAUGUUUUCUUGGGACUAAGAAGUUGUUGUUGACGAUGCUGAUAUUUUUCUGAGGGAGUGAUUCAGCUAUGAAAGAAUUACAAGUGAGAGGUGGAUCUCCGAUGCGGCAAUGGUGGUGCCUAGCUGUUUUCAUUCUCCGGUGCUUAUGGAAGAAUAGAAAGUUAAACUGGACAGCAACUGAAGAGGGAGGGUGAGAAGCUUAGAUUAUGCAAGGCAAAUAUUGGUCAUGACGACACUAGGAAUCCUAGGGAGGUACCAUUUCUGCUUUGUGAAUCAUCCUCCUAAAUCAUAUUUGAAUCGAAGUUAUGUAUGUAGUGAAGCAAUGGAAAGGAAAGAAUGGAUUAGGGUGCUUGGUUUGAGAUUUUGACCACGACUCCAACUCAGGCUGCAAUAGGACAGUGGUGAAAGUGAAGGCACAUGCAGAUUUUUCCCUGCUGAUGUUUCCCCAAUUUUAUUUAACUAUUUUGAAGUUGAAUCCGGUUUUUCCUUUUGUACAACUUUUCUUGGAUUUUUUCUGGAGGAGGACAUACUAAUAUACUAUUAAUUUAUGCUAUGCUGGAUGGAGGUUGUAAGAGCAGCAGUUGUUUUCACUCAAUCAAGGGAAGUUGUGAAUUUUUUUGCAGAGCGCCAUUGGCCUAUCAUUAACGAAGGAAGUUAUUUGAAUUUUAGCAAUUUUCUACCAUUGCAGUUGAAGUAGUGCUUUUAGCCCAAAAAAGAAAAGUACUCUGUAUUUUGUUAAACUAGGCCUAUCGUUAAACAGGCACAACUACUUGUGAGUUGCGCUUAUUUUCGUAGUUACUUUUUUAAACGAAAUUAUUUAUGUAAUUAUUCAUUCAAAUUACCAUAUUUUAAUU